rnacentral:rRNA from 1 species
GACGAACGCUGGCGGCGUGCCUAACACAUGCAAGUCGAACGGAGUAAUUUCUUCGGAGAUUACUUAGUGGCGAACGGGUGAGUAACGCGUGAGAAACCUGCCUUUCAGUGGGGGACAACAGUUGGAAACGACUGCUAAUACCGCAUAAUGUAUCGAGAGGGCAUCCUCUUGAUACCAAAGCUUUAUGUGCUGAAAGAUGGUCUCGCGUCUGAUUAGCUAGAUGGUGAGGUAACGGCCCACCAAGGCGACGAUCAGUAGCCGGCCUGAGAGGGUGGACGGCCACAUUGGGACUGAGACACGGCCCAAACUCCUACGGGAGGCAGCAGUGGGGAAUAUUGCACAAUGGGGGAAACCCUGAUGCAGCGACGCCGCGUGAGUGAAGAAGUAUUUCGGUAUGUAAAGCUCUAUCAGCAGGGAAGAAAAUGACGGUACCUGACUAAGAAGCCCCGGCUAACUACGUG